rnacentral:rRNA from 1 species
GUCUUUAAGAUAUUAAUUUAAAGUCUAAUCUGCCCACUGAUUUUAUUAUUAAAUGGCUGCAGAAUUUUAACUGUACUAAGGUAGCAUAAUAAUUUGUUUUUUAAUUAAAAACUAGAAUGAAAGAUUAAAUGAAAUAUAAACUGUUUCAAUUAAUUUAAUAUUUAAUUUUUUAUUUAAGUAAAAAAACUUAAAUAAAAUUUAAAGACGACAAGACCCUAUAGAAUUUUAUUUAAUAAAAUUUAAAUUAAAAUUUAUUAAAUUUUAUUGGGGUAAUAAAAAAAUUAAAUCAAUUUUUUUUAAAAUUAACACUAAUUAAUGAAUUUUAAAUCUUAAUUUUUAAAUUAAAAAAAUUAAUUACCUUAGGGAUAACAGCAUAAUUUUUUUUAAAAGAUCUUAUUAAUAAAAAAGAUUAU